rnacentral:tRNA from 1 species
GCGGUGAUACCCAAGAGGCUCAAGGGGCGCCCCUGCUAAGGGCGUAGUACGGGAAACUGUAGCGAGGGUUCGAAUCCCUCUCGCCGCGCCA